rnacentral:piRNA from 1 species
UUCUCACUGUCUGAGCUGAAGAA